GGGUUAUAUGGAGUAAUAGGGGGAGUUAUAGGGAGGGUUAUAUGGAGUAAUAGGAGGAGUUAUAGGGAGGGUUAUAUGGAGUAAUAGGGGGAGUUAUAGGAGGGUUAUAUGGAGUAAUAGGAGGAGUUAUAGGGAGGGUUAUAUGGAGUAAUAGGGGGAGUUAUAGGGAGGGUUAUAUGGAGUAAUAGGAGGAGUUAUAGGGAGGGUUAUAUGGAGUAAUAGGAGGAGUUAUAGGGAGGGUUAUAUGGAGUAAUAGGAGGAGUUAUAGGGAG